CUAAGAUAGAAGUUCUUCAUCUUCAGCACUUCAAAGUGACCCCAGCCAUCAGAUCAAAAGAAGAGAAAACCUAUCAGCCUGACAUCAAAGGCACCCCCAUCCCACACACUGGCAGCCUCCCAUGGAAACCUGUGGCACCAUCGUGUUUUAAGUCUGUUGCUAUCAUUGCUAUUCAGAACGGGUUCACUGUGCUGGGGAAAGUGAAUGACUCCUGACUGUGUUCGCCCUGGUGAUCUUUCCCUUUUUGGGUCAGAUGGUUCUCUUCAGUUUAAUGAUCUUCCAUCUGCUGACCAGCCUGCUAAGCUCUGAAGAAGAAAUUUCAACUAACAUCAGACCAAUUCUCAUCUGCCACUCUCCCCCAGUGCAGCAGGGCCUGCAAUGACAUGUACCAUUUCACCAAGCCUUGCCUGUGGCCCACCAGCAGCAUCCAUGCAGGGCAAAGCUUGAUUCAGAAGAAUAAAGCUCAUGGAUGAAACUGGGGGGACAUUAUAUUAGAAGAAAAUAAGCCAGGAACACAAAGUCAAACACCGCGUGUUCUGACUCAUAUGUGGAAACUUUAAGUUGAUGUUGGCCAAGCAUGGUGGCUCACGCCUAUAAUCCCAGCACUUUCGGAGGCUGAGGCGGGUGGAUCACCUGAGGUCAGGAGUUUGAGAUGAGCCUGGCCAACAUGGUGAAAACCGCUCUGUACUAAAAAUACAAAAAUUAGCCAGGCAUGGUGGCAGAUGCCUGCAAUCCCAGCUACUUGGGAGUCUAAGGAAGGAGAAUCACUUGAACCCAGAAGGCGGAGGUUGCAGUGAGCCAAGAUUACUCCAUUGCCCUCCAGCCAGGGCGACAAGAGCGAAACUUCGGGAAAAAAAAAAAGAAGAAGAAGAAGAAAGAAAAAAAAGUUUAUGUCAUAGAGGCAAAUAGUAAAACAGGAUAUGAAAGGCUGAAAAGGGUGGAGGAGGGAGAGGAUAGGACAAGAUUUGUUAAAAGACACAAAAUUACAGCUAGAUAGGAGGAAUAAGUUCUAGUGUUCUGUACCACAGCAGGAUGAGCAUAGUUAAUAAUAUAUUAAAUAGUUUAAAUAGCCAGGAGGAUAUUGAGUAUUGAAGGAGGAUAUGGAAUGAACAAAGAAAUGACAAAUUCUUUAAAUGAUGAAUAUACUAAUGACCCAGAUCUGAUCACUAUACACUAUAUAUGUAUCACAAUAUCACUAUGUACCCCAUGAAUAUGUACAAUUAUUAUGUGUUAAUUUUAAAAAUUAAAUGUAAUUUAAGUAUAUAUAGUAUAUAUAUAAAACAAACUUGGAAAC
rnacentral:lncRNA from 1 species